GGCAAGAUUAUGAUGUGUAUGGAGUAUGGCAGAGGGAGAGACACCCCAACAGCUUCCAGAACACGGGUGUGUGGGAAGGCAAGGAUCUAAAGGAAGACAGAUUUGGCCUAGAGACGGGGUACAGCCACUUCCAGCCCUCCCUGGAAAAUGUGGACCCAAGCAGAGAGGUCCACAUUCAAAGGCCGAAAGUGGUAA